rnacentral:pre_miRNA from 1 species
GGUGGUUUUUCGCCGUAGUGAUACAACAUCGAAGCCAUACGAUAUCACCGGGUGAAAAACUCCCAA